rnacentral:rRNA from 1 species
GACGAACGCUGGCGGCGUGCUUAACACAUGCAAGUCGAACGGAAAGGCCCUGCUUUUGUGGGGUGCUCGAGUGGCGAACGGGUGAGUAACACGUGAGUAACCUGCCCUUGACUUUGGGAUAACUUCAGGAAACUGGGGCUAAUACCGGAUAGGAGCUCCUGCUGCAUGGUGGGGGUUGGAAAGUUUCGGCGGUUGGGGAUGGACUCGCGGCAUAUCAGCUUGUUGGUGGGGUAGUGGCUUACCAAGGCUUUGACGGGUAGCCGGCCUGAGAGGGUGACCGGCCACAUUGGGACUGAGAUACGGCCCAGACUCCAACGGGAGGCAGCGGUGGGGAGUUUUGCACAGUGGGCGGAAGCCAGAUGCGGCGACGCCGCGUGCGGGAUGACAGGCUGCGGGUUGAAAACCACUGUCGCCUGUGACGAGGCGUGAGUGACGGUAAUGGAUAAGAAAGCACCGGCUAACUACGUG